GCUCGUAGCUUCGUGUGUGCAGCGCAUGGCUGGACUUCAGCUCCCGCGAGGCUGGUUUCGAGGGAAAAGAUUAUUUUAUUUUUAAAAGCACAUGAAAGGAAUAUGGAAGAACUUUGGGAUACCUUGACAAAACUAAACCUUCAAAUUAUAGGUAUAGAUUAGGAAGGAGCAUCCUAAGCCAACACACACGUCUAUAAAGAUACAAGAAGCACAAAGAACAACAAAUAAACUCUUUACAGUAUAAUCAUGGUUAAACCACCAAAUAAUGCAGAACAAAGAAAAAUAUUGAAAGUUGAAAAAGCCACAAGUAACAUAAACUAAACAAAAUUAUCUGCUGUAGUUGAAGAAGAAAAAAACUUUCCAUGAUCCAAAUAGUCUGAAGGAAUUCAUAUCCAAUAGACCAAGCCCACAAAGGAUACUGGAUGUAAUACUUCAGACUGAAGAAGCACAGCCAAGAUACUGCAGAAAGAGAGUGAGUGAAGCAUGAGGAGUGUGAGAGAAAAUGACAACAUGAUUGUAAACAACACACACAACACAGGCUGGCUGAAAGAAUAAGAAACAAAAUCCAUCUUUCUGUUGUUUUUGAGGCCUCACAUUAGAGUAAAAGAAUGGAAAACAGUACUUCAAUCUAAUGGGACCAGGAAGCAAGAAGUACUGCAAUCCUGACAUCUGGCAAAACAAACACACAAAAC
rnacentral:lncRNA from 1 species